CAACUCCUCCCUCUGUUUGAAAUUAUUUGUCGCACACAUAUAUAAAAAGAUGUAUCUAAAACAAAAAUACAUCUAGAUACAUUCAUUUUUAUGACAAGUAUUUUCGUACGGAGGAAGUAUUUA
rnacentral:pre_miRNA from 1 species